AUUGAACGCUGGCGGCAGGCCUAACACAUGCAAGUCGAGCGAGCGGCGGACGGGUGAGUAAUGUCUGGGAAACUGCCUGAUGGGGGGGGAUAACUCCUGGAAACGGUAGCUCAUACCGCAUACAAUCGGAGGUUCGCAGAUGGGAUUAGCUAGUAGGUGGGGUAACGGCUCACAUAGGCGACGAUCCCUAGCUGGUCUGAGAGGAUGACCAGCCACACUGGAACUUAGACACGUUCCAGACUCCUACGGGAGGCAGCAGUGGGGAAUAUUGCACAAUGGGCGAAAGCCUGAUGCAGCCAUGCCGCGUGUAUGAAGAAGGCCUUCGGGUUGUAAAGUACUUUCAGCGGGGAGGCGUUACCCGCAGAAGAAGCACCGGCUAACUCCGUGCCAGCAGCCGCGGUAAUUC
rnacentral:rRNA from 1 species